AAGAAUUGAAUGCUUCUUUUUGUAACUUUAUUGGGGUGUAAAAGCGUUGACCAAAGUACAUUUUGUAUGAAGCGCGGAAGUGCUUCGUUCUAAAAAUGUGCACACUGUCAACGCUUUUACAACCCUAUGAAGUUACAAAAAGAAGCAUUCAAUACUUAUAAUUACAUUUUUUAGCUAUGAUCAUGAAAACACUAAUUUUAUCAUUUUUUUUUAUUUAAUUCACCUGCAGUGCACUUUAUUGUCGGACCUUGUGUUAUCAUGAAUGAUAAGUUUUAUUGUGUAAUGCAAUUGCUUAUUGAAUAACAUGUGAUGUGCAGUUAGCCAAUCAGAAUAACAUAUUAUAAUGAAACAUACAUCUAAUGUAAUUAUGUUAUAAUGAUAUAACACAGUGUCCACUCAACUCUUCUGACUGGACAUCAUGUUGUUGGGUCACAAUUUGAAUGAUUAUUGAUAUAUUUGAUUUUUUGAAAGUUAGACACUUUUCAUUUUAUUGACUUUUAUAAUGCAAGUUAAGUUAAAACAACAUAUUUGUGAGCCAAUAUGCUCUGAAUUUUGACACCAGAAUUUUUUUUCAAAAAGUCUUUAGUUCAUAUAUAAGUAUCACAGCCCAAAUCUUUAUUUAAAUUAUUCAUAAAUAGGGAAGUAUAAUCGGUUCAUGAGACAUUUUGAAAGCCUUUUUAUAUGCCCGUCGUCUUUUAGACGGGACGUAUUAUGGUAUACCGUUGUCCGUCUGUCCGUCCGUCCGUCUGUCCGUCCGUCUGUCCGUCCGUCCGUCGUCCACACUUCGGACAAUAACUCAAAAACACUUUCACCAAUUUCCAUGAAACUUAAGUGAAUUGUUUAUAUCUAUUGACGUAAGCUCCCUUUCGUUUUUUUUUAAUUUCAGAUUUUAAGUUUUGGAUUUAUGGGGCUUUAUUCAUAAAAAAGGGGGGAUUUUCAACACUUCGAACAAUUACUCAAAAAGGCUUUCACCAAUGUCCAUGAAACUUUGGUGAAUUGUUUAUAUCUAUUGAUGUAAGCUCCCUUUCAAUUUUUAUAAAUUUCAGAUUUUAAGUUUUGGAUUUAUGGAGCUUUAUUCAUAAAAAAAGGGGGAUUUUCAACACUUCGGACAAUAACUCAAAAAGGCUUUCACCAAUGUCCAUGAAACUUUGGUGAAUUGUUUAUAUCUAUUGAUGUAAGCUCCCUUUCAAUUUUUAUAAAUUUCAGAUUUUAAGUUUUGGAUUUAUGGGGCUUUAUUCAUAAAAAAAGGGGGAUUUUCAACACUUCGGACAAUAACUCUAAAAGGCUUUCACCAAUGUCCAUGAAACUUUGGUGAAUUGUUUAUAUCUAUUGAUGUAAGCUCCCUUUCAAUUUUUAUAAAUUUCAGAUUUUAAGUUUUGGAUUUAUGGGGCUUUAUUCAUAAAAAAAGGGGGAUUUUCAACACUUCGGACAAUAACUCAAAAAGGCUUUCACCAAUGUCCAUGAAACUUUGGUGAAUUGUUUAUAUCUAUUGAUGUAAGCUCCCUUUCAAUUUUUAUAAAUUUCAGAUUUUAAGUUUUGGAUUUAUGGGGCUUUAUUCAUAAAAAAAAAGGGGGAUUUUCAACACUUCGGACAAUAACUCAAAAAGGCUUUCACCAAAGUCCAUGAAACUUUGGUGAAUUGUUUAUAUCUAUUGAUGUAAGCUCCCUUUCAAUUUUUAUAAAAUUUCAGAUUUUACAUUUCCGUGUUAUGAAUUUUUAUGCUUAAAAAAGGGGGG
rnacentral:lncRNA from 1 species